UUUUAUCUCCAUUUGCUGUCGGUAACUUUCAUCUCCUUUACUCCUAUUUAACAGCAUAAUUUGAAGGAUUUUUGUAAGUUCGAUUCAUCUACUCAACUAGGUUGGUAAAUUUUUCCUUCGUCUCCUUUCCAUCUUUUUUCAAAAUUUUCUGAUUUCAUGAUGAAAAUCUUCGUAGGUGUUGUUAUUGGUUAUUUAAACUUCUUCCAAGAACUACUUUAUCAGUUUUUUC
rnacentral:lncRNA from 1 species